rnacentral:rRNA from 1 species
UACGAAGGGGGCUAGCGUUGCUCGGAAUCACUGGGCGUAAAGGGUGCGUAGGCGGGUCUUUAAGUCAGGGGUGAAAUCCUGGAGCUCAACUCCAGAACUGCCUUUGAUACUGAGGAUCUUGAGUUCGGGAGAGGUGAGUGGAACUGCGAGUGUAGAGGUGAAAUUCGUAGAUAUUCGCAAGAACACCAGUGGCGAAGGCGGCUUACUGGUCCGUAUGACGCUGAGGUGCGAAAGCGUGGGGAGCAACAGG